ensembl:lncRNA
CCCAGGUAAGGAGUUGUGAUGUCGCCUUAGGAAUCCAGCGGUGGAACGCCCUCGACGGCCGAACCCGACAGUUGGUUUUAGACCAUCACCUCCUCCCUCCCCGACACACUCAAUGCCUACCACCCUGACAGAUCCACAGACGCAAUCGCCAUUGGGUAACCUGGACAAAAGGAAUGCAUAUGUGAGGAUGCUGUUCAUCAACUACAGCUCAGCCUUCAAUACCAUAGUGCCCUAAAUGCUCCUUACAAAGCUCACAGACUUGUGUCUAAUCUCCUCCCUAUGCAACUGGGUCUUGGACUUCCUGAUGGGCCACCCCCAGGGGGUGAAGGUAGGCAACAUUACCUCCUCGACAAUGAUUCUCAGCACAGGGGCCCCACAAGGGUGUGUCCUCAGUCCCCUCCUGUAUACCCACGACUGCGUGGUCUCACACAGUUCCAACUUCAUCAUCAAGUUCGCUGACAACACAACAGUAGUCGGCCUGAAAACCAACUACGACGAGACAGACUACAAGGAGGAGGUAGGCACUCUGAUGGUGUAGUGCCAGGUAACAACCUCUCCCUCAACGUUAGUAAAACAAAGGAGCUGAUUGUGGACUUCAGAAGGAACCAGGCUGGACACCCCACUAUCCUCGUCAAUGGGGCCACCGUGGAGAUGGUCAAUAACUACCCCGCAAUAAUCACCCCGCUGUCAUCCAGAAGGCGAGGUCAGUACAGGUGCAUCAAAGCUGGGACCGAGAG